UCAGUUCGGAUUGAAGGCUGAAAUUCGCCUUCAUGAAGCUGGAAUUGCUAGUAAUCGCGGAUCAGCAUGCCGCGGUGAAUACGUUCCCGGGCCUUGUACACACCGCCCGCCACACCAUGAGAGUCGGGAACACCCGAAGUCCGUAGUCUAACCGCAAGGAGGGCGCGGCCGAAGGUGGGUCCGGUAAUUGGGGUGAAGUCGUAACAAGGUACC
rnacentral:rRNA from 1 species